AGAGUUUGAUCCUGGCUCAGAUUGAACGCUGGCGGCAGGCCUAACACAUGCAAGUCGAGCGGAUGAAGGGAGCUUGCUCCUGGAUUCAGCGGCGGACGGGUGAGUAAUGCCUAGGAAUCUGCCUGGUAGUGGGGGAUAACGUCCGGAAACGGGCGCUAAUACCGCAUACGUCCUGAGGGAGAAAGUGGGGGAUCUUCGGACCUCACGCUAUCAGAUGAGCCUAGGUCGGAUUAGCUAGUUGGUGGGGUAAAGGCCUACCAAGGCGACGAUCCGUAACUGGUCUGAGAGGAUGAUCAGUCACACUGGAACUGAGACACGGUCCAGACUCCUACGGGAGGCAGCAGUGGGGAAUAUUGGACAAUGGGCGAAAGCCUGAUCCAGCCAUGCCGCGUGUGUGAAGAAGGUCUUCGGAUUGUAAAGCACUUUAAGUUGGGAGGAAGGGCAGUAAGUUAAUACCUGCUGUUUGACGUACCAACAGAUAAGCACCGGCUAACUUCGUGCCAGCAGCCGCGGU
rnacentral:rRNA from 1 species